rnacentral:rRNA from 1 species
GACGAACGCUGGCGGCGUGCUUAACACAUGCAAGUCGAACGGAAAGGCCCUGCUUUUGUGGGGUGCUCGAGUGGCGAACGGGUGAGUAACACGUGAGUAACCUGCCCUUGACUUUGGGAUAACUUCAGGAAACUGGGGCUAAUACCGGAUAGGAGCUCCUGCUGCAUGGUGGGGGUUGGAAAGUUUCGGCGGUUGGGGAUGGACUCGCGGCUUAUCAGCUUGUUGGUGGGGUAGUGGCAUACCAAGGCUUUGACGGGUAGCCGGCCUGAGAGGGUGACCGGGCACAUGGGGACUGAGGUACGGACCAGACUGCUACGGGAGGCAGCAGGGGGGAAUAUUGCACAAUGGGCGGAAGCCUGAUGCAGCAACGCCGCGUGCGGGAUGACGGCCUUCGGGUUGUAAACCGCUUUCGCCUGUGACGAAGCGUGAGUGACGGUAAUGGGUAAAGAAGCACCGGCUAACUACGUG